GUGCACACAGGUCAAAAGCUGUAUGAAGAAAGUCUGUCAACUUCCCUUCAGGCCUGAGUCUCAGAUGCAGAGUACUUUUUGAACAGGUCCACCAACUUGAAGAGAAUUGAUCUUCCUCCCAAGCUCUAUGAAACGGUGUCUCAGCUAUCAGGGAUGCUACCAUGAAUGUCAACAAGGCCGAUGGGUCCCUUUAUUCAAAUACCUUCCCAAAACAAAGGGGGCACAGAGGUCAACAGCUUUGGACCAUCAUCAGCUCUGUAUACCAUACUAUGAUGGCACAGUAUUCCCCACUACCAUACAUCUGACCUGCAGAGAAAUUAAUUUCUUAGUGCUAAAAAGAAAAAUCUCAAAAACUCCAGCUAAAAAUGGAGGUAUACAAAAUAAACAAAUUUCUACCUCUGGAUGGGUAGUCUGCUUACACUGAAACAGUAGCAGCACUAAUGAAAAUAGCAGUUUGGAAGCAGGAGAAAUGAGUAUUUGGGAACACGAAGGUUAAAUCUUCACAGAAUCACAGAAGGGUUGAGGUUGGCAGGGACCUCUGGAGGCCACCUAGCUCACCCAGAGCAGGAUGCCCAGGACCAUGUCCAGGUGGCUCUUGAAUAUCUCCAAGGAGGAGACUCCACAACUUCUCUGGGCAGCCUGUGCCAGGGCUUAGUCACCCUCACAUUGUUUUGUGAUGUUCAGAGGGAGCCUACUGGGCUCCAGUUGGAGCCCAUUGCCUCCUGUCCUGGCGCUGGGAACCACCCUCAUUGCACCCUUCCUUCAGGUGUUUAUAGACAUUGAUAAGAUUCCCCCCUUUCAAUCUUCAAAGAAACAGAAUAUAUCAAAGUUUGAAGCCAAAGUAUAAUCUGUUGGUUU
rnacentral:lncRNA from 1 species